rnacentral:rRNA from 1 species
AUCGAACGCUGGCGGCAGGCCUAACACAUGCAAGUCGCGCGGAUGAGGUUCGCUUUCCCCUUGACUCAGCGGCGGGCGAGUCAUUGAUGCCUAUGAAUCUGCCUGGUAUUGGGGGAUAACAUCCGGACACGUACGCUAUUACCGCAUACGUCCUGAGCCGGAACGAGGGGGAUAUUCGGACCUCCCGCUAUCCUAUGAGCCUAUGUCUGAUUAGCUAGUUGGGGGGGUAACGGCCUACCAAGGCGUCGAUCGGUAACUGGUCUGAGAGGCUGAUCAGGCACACGGGAACUGAGAGAGGGUAGAGACACCGACGGGAGGAAGCAGUGGGGAAUAUUAGACGAGGGGGGAAAGCCGGAUACAGGCAUGCGGGGUGUGGGAAGAAGGUGUUCGGAUGGUAAAGCAAUGUAAGUUGGGGGAAAGGGAAGUAAGUUAAUACGUGGCUGUGUUGACGUUACCAGCAGAAUAAGCACCGGCUAACUUCGUG